GACGAACCGAGCGAACGUUGUUCGGAAUCACUGGGCUUAAAGGGCGCGUAGGCGGGUGCUCAAGUCCGGGGUGAAAUCCUCCAGCUCAACUGGAGAACUGCCUCGGAUACUGGGUGCCUCGAGUGUGGUAGGGGUGUGCGGAACUAUCGGUGGAGCGGUGAAAUGCGUUGAUAUCGAUAGGAACUCCGGUGGCGAAGGCGGCACACUGGACCACAACUGACGCUGAGGCGCGAAAGCGUGGGGAGCAAACGGG
rnacentral:rRNA from 1 species